GCGAGUCUAUGGACUUCGGUCCAUGGCGGACGGCUCAGUAACACGUGGUUAACCUACCCUUAGGUGGGGGAUAACCUUGGGAAACUGAGGAUAAUACCCCAUAGGAAAAGAGGUUUGGAAUAAUCCUUUUCUGAAAGGACAUCCGCCUAAGGAUGGGACUGCGUCUGAUUAGGUAGUUGGUGGGGUAAUGGCCCACCAAGCCUACGAUCAGUACGGGCCUUGAGAGAGGGAGCCCGGAGAUGGGGACUGAGACACGGCCCCAGGCCCUACGGGGCGCAGCAGGCGCGAAACCUCCACAAUGCACGAAAGUGCGAUGGGGGAAUCCCAAGUGCCUAUGUAAAACAUAGGCUUUUCCCAAGUUUAAACAACUUGGGGAAUAAGGGCUGGGCAAGUCCGGUGCCAGCAGCCGCGGUAACACCGGCGGCCCAAGUGGUAGCCACUCUUAUUGGGCCUAAAGCGUCCGUAGCCCGGUUA
rnacentral:rRNA from 1 species